rnacentral:rRNA from 1 species
AGGGCGCACGGUGGAUGCCUUGACACUAGGAGUCGAUGAAGGACGGGACUAACGCCGAUAUGCUUCGGGGAGCUGUAAGUAAGCUUUGAUCCGAAGAUUUCCGAAUGGGGAAACCCACCAUACGUAAUGGUAUGGUAUCCUUAUCUGAAUACAUAGGGUAAGGAAGACAGACCCAGGGAACUGAAACAUCUAAGUACCUGGAGGAAGAGAAAGCAAAUGCGAUUUCCUGAGUAGCGGCGAGCGAAACGGAACAUAGCCCAAACCAAGAGGCUUGCCUCUUGGGGUUGUAGGACAUUCUAUACGGAGUUACAAAGGAACGAGGUAGACGAAGCGACCUGGAAAGGUCCGUCGUAGAGGGUAACAACCCCGUAGUCGAAACUUCGUUCUCUCUUGAAUGUAUCCUGAGUACGGCGGAACACGUGAAAUUCCGUCGGAAUCUGGGAGGACCAUCUCCCAAGGCUAAAUACUCCCUAGUGAUCGAUAGUGAACCAGUACCGUGAGGGAAAGGUGAAAAGCACCCCGGAAGGGGAGUGAAAGAGAUCCUGAAACCGUGUGCCUACAAAUAGUCAGAGCCCGUUAACGGGUGAUGGCGUGCCUUUUGUAGAAUGAACCGGCGAGUUACGAUCCCGUGCGAGGUUAAGCUGAAGAGGCGGAGCCGCAGCGAAAGCGAGUCUGAAUAGGGCGUUUAGUACGUGGUCGUAGACCCGAAACCAGGUGAUCUACCCAUGUCCAGGGUGAAGUUCAGGUAACACUGAAUGGAGGCCCGAACCCACGCACGUUGAAAAGUGCGGGGAUGAGGUGUGGGUAGCGGAGAAAUUCCAAUCGAACCUGGAGAUAGCUGGUUCUCCCCGAAAUAGCUUUAGGGCUAGCCUUAAGUGUAAGAGUCUUGGAGGUAGAGCACUGAUUGGACUAGGGGUCCUCAUCGGAUUACCGAAUUCAGUCAAACUCCGAAUGCCAAUGACUUAUCCUUAGGAGUCAGACUGCGAGUGAUAAGAUCCGUAGUCAAAAGGGAAACAGCCCAGACCGCCAGCUAAGGUCCCAAAGUGUGUAUUAAGUGGAAAAGGAUGUGGAGUUGCUUAGACAACUAGGAUGUUGGCUUAGAAGCAGCCACCAUUUAAAGAGUGCGUAAUAGCUCACUAGUCGAGUGACUCUGCGCCGAAAAUGUACCGGGGCUAAAUACACCACCGAAGCUGCGGAUUGAUACCAAUGGUAUCAGUGGUAGGGGAGCGUUCUAAGGACAGUGAAGUCAGACCGGAAGGACUGGUGGAGUGCUUAGAAGUGAGAAUGCCGGUAUGAGUAGCGAAAGACGGGUGAGAAUCCCGUCCACCGAAUGCCUAAGGUUUCCUGAGGAAGGCUCGUCCGCUCAGGGUUAGUCAGGACCUAAGCCGAGGCCGACAGGCGUAGGCGAUGGACAACAGGUUGAUAUUCCUGUACCACCUCUUUAUCGUUUGAGCAAUGGAGGGACGCAGAAGGAUAGAAGAAGCGUGCGAUUGGUUGUGCACGUCCAAGCAGUUAGGCUGAUAAGUAGGCAAAUCCGCUUAUCGUGAAGGCUGAGCUGUGAUGGGGAAGCUCCUUAUGGAGCGAAGUCUUUGAUUCCCCGCUGCCAAGAAAAGCUUCUAGCGAGAUAAAAGGUGCCUGUACCGCAAACCGACACAGGUAGGCGAGGAGAGAAUCCUAAGGUGUGCGAGAGAACUCUGGUUAAGGAACUCGGCAAAAUGACCCCGUAACUUCGGGAGAAGGGGUGCUUUCUUAACGGAAAGCCGCAGUGAAUAGGCCCAAGCGACUGUUUAGCAAAAACACAGCUCUCUGCGAAGCCGUAAGGCGAAGUAUAGGGGGUGACACCUGCCCGGUGCUGGAAGGUUAAGGAGAGGGGUUAGCGUAAGCGAAGCUCUGAACUGAAGCCCCAGUAAACGGCGGCCGUAACUAUAACGGUCCUAAGGUAGCGAAAUUCCUUGUCGGGUAAGUUCCGACCCGCACGAAAGGUGUAACGAUUUGGGCACUGUCUCAACCAGAGACUCGGUGAAAUUAUAGUACCUGUGAAGAUGCAGGUUACCCGCGACAGGACGGAAAGACCCCGUGGAGCUUUACUGUAGCCUGAUAUUGAAUUUUGGUACAGUUUGUACAGGAUAGGCGGGAGCCUUUGAAACCGGAGCGCUAGCUUCGGUGGAGGCGCUGGUGGGAUACCGCCCUGACUGUAUUGAAAUUCUAACCUACGGGUCUUAUCGACCCGGGAGACAGUGUCAGGUGGGCAGUUUGACUGGGGCGGUCGCCUCCUAAAGUGUAACGGAGGCGCCCAAAGGUUCCCUCAGAAUGGUUGGAAAUCAUUCGUAGAGUGCAAAGGCAUAAGGGAGCUUGACUGCGAGACCUACAAGUCGAGCAGGGACGAAAGUCGGGCUUAGUGAUCCGGUGGUUCCGCAUGGAAGGGCCAUCGCUCAACGGAUAAAAGCUACCCCGGGGAUAACAGGCUUAU